UGGGGAAUUUUGGACAAUGGGGGAAACCCUGAUCCAGCCAUCCCGCGUGUGCGAUGAAGGCCUUCGGGUUGUAAAGCACUUUUGGCAGGAAAGAAACGUCGCGGGUUAAUACCCCGCGAAACUGACGGUACCUGCAGAAUAAGCACCGGCUAACUACGUGCCAGCAGCCGCGGUAAUACGUAGGGUGCAAGCGUUAAUCGGAAUUACUGGGCGUAAAGCGUGCGCAGGCGGUUCGGAAAGAAAGAUGUGAAAUCCCAGAGCUUAACUUUGGAACUGCAUUUUUAACUACCGGGCUAGAGUGUGUCAGAGGGAGGUGGAAUUCCGCGUGUAGCAUGAAAUGCGUAGAUAUGCGGAGGAACACCGAUGGCGAAGGCAGCCUCCUGGGAUAACACUGACGCUCAUGCACGAAAGCGUGGGGAGC
rnacentral:rRNA from 1 species